UACGUAGGGGGCUAGCGUUGUCCGGAAUCAUUGGGCGUAAAGGGCGCGUAGGCGGCCGAUUAAGUCGGGGGUGAAAGCCUGUGGCUCAACCACAGAAUUGCCUUCGAUACUGGUUGGCUUGAGACCGGAAGAGGACAGCGGAACUGCGAGUGUAGAGGUGAAAUUCGUAGAUAUUCGCAAGAACACCAGUGGCGAAGGCGGCUGUCUGGUCCGGUUCUGACGCUGAGGCGCGAAAGCGUGGGGAGCAAACAGG
rnacentral:rRNA from 1 species